UGGAUACUCAUUUCGGCUAAUUAAAAUGGUCCGAAAAAUGCAGAGACCGUUUAGUUCUUCCCCAAACACAGACCUCAUCUUCUCCGUCUCCUUCAUCCCCAAACCUCCAUGUUCACCGGCAAUCCACCGCCAAUGACCGCCAAAAUAACACCCUUGAAACCCCGUCUCACCCUCAUCCCAAAAAUCCCCUUUAUUCCCCUCGAAUGUUACUGAAGCCUCUCGAAUUUGGAUUUAAAGGGUCCACUUUAGAAAUUCCAAAGCCUAAAUCUAUGACUCUAUAAAUGGUUCUAGACUGUAGUGACCUUUAUUCGUGUGGUUCCAUAAGAAAAUACACGAUUAAGGGUUAGUCCAGUCAGGAAUCUGAAGAAGCUCAUUAAGGAUUGUUCGAGUUGGCUUAGCUUGGUGCUUUAGGUAUUAUGUUUGCCUAUCCUCAUUGUUUCCCAGAUUAGUUCAAUUGUUUGAUUUUGUUUUCUGUUGUUCUUCCUCCAGUUCAUGCUCUGUCUCUGCUUUUCCAUUCUGCCUCGUUGCUUAUGUGUUAAUAUGCUUAAUUAAUAACCUUGAGUUAAUCGUGUUUUUGAUUUUGCUAAAUAAAUAGAAUUAAUUCAUUUUGCGAGUUUUUAAUUGGGCUGUUUCUUUUGGAGGUUAUCCCUUAACUGAUAUUGGAUUGAGUCAGAAUCUGAAAUCGAUUGUCUAUUUUGGAUUGGUCUAGAAUUAGUUUGGGGCUCCUUGGGUCAUUUAUGACCCAACUCAAAGGUGCCUUGGUUGAGCCCAAAGCUGUUUGGUUAGCUAAGUAAUAACAGGGGCUUUGGAGGGUAUUAUAGGUAAUCUAACAUGGAUGAAUCUUUUGUAACUAAUUUCAGAAGUUUCUAGUAGGGGUCUUAAGGGGAGUAUCAUAUUUUGGGUGUUUAAACUUGGGUAGAAAGUCAGGAAUUGAGGGUUACCUAAGCAAAAAUGAAAAUACAAAAGGGGGGUAAGGUGUAAAUUGGAAAACCUGAAGGCUGCCCUAUGCUUAAGCUUAUAAACGCAUGCUUUAUUGCCUUGAAAGACAGCCAUCAAGAUUCUAAAAAUCUGAAGGGCAUUAGAGAUACAAAAGAAAAAAACAUAAAAAUCAGUAUUGCUACUAUUCUAUGGAGUUUAAGGCCUAAACUUUGAAAGUUUUUCCAUCUCUAAAUCAAUUUGAAUUUUCUCUUUAUGUCCAAGCUUUGAAAUGGUUUGAAAAAUGAGGUGAUGAUCUUGGAUUUGGAUGGCUCUGAUUGUUUGAAGGUGGUAUUACGUGUUGAGAUUACAUUCCUCUGGGUUUUAGGCUAUUAAGUCUACUGUUCCAUUGGAGUUUUUAAGUAAUCUCCUGGUUUUAUUCACUAAGUCUAGGCUGUGUUGGUUGCUUUUGAUUUCUACGGUUGCUAUUUGAUAUUGCAUCUGUUUGGCUGGUUGUGUUCCUUCUGUUGGCUUUCAUCUUUAUUUGAGCUUACUACUGCUGCUCACUGUUAGCUCCUGGCUCAUUUUUGUUGGUUUUGCUGUUGUAAUCAGGUACAUACUCGAGGUCAUGUCAAUACAGAUUUUACUUGCUUGAAAUGAAAUGGAAUCGAAGUUACUGCUUGAAGAUCUCAUGUCAAUACAACUUUUCCUUGCUUGAAAUGAAAUGGAAUCGAAGUUACUGCUUGAAGAUCUGUUGUUCAUUUUAUUAUGCAAAUGAAUGUUUUGUAUGAUCUAUGUAAUUUCAUAGUGUGACAGAGCAUAAACCUAGGAGUUCUAUGUGUAGCAACGAGGUUUUGGACUGUUAAACUCGACUGAUUUUAUAGCUUUCAUUAAUUCUAUGUGUAGCACUGGUUAUAACUACACCAUUUGGGGUUGUUGAAUUCUGGAUUCUAUAACUUUCAUUAAGCCUUCAUUAUGCAUUUCAAAGUAGUCGAUCUCAGUCCAAAUGGCAAGGAUUUUCAUGAGUAAACACUGUUUGGUUCAUAUGAGCAAUAGAGUACAAUAUUAUCACCAUGCUUAUUUAGUUACAAGGAUUUAUAGAAUCUGACUCUAUAAUAGUUGAAUACACUUUUGCUUGUGAAUCACGAACCAGUUAAUUUAACCUGUUGUUUGGGCCUAUUGUUUGAUGUUAGGCCCAAUAAUUGUUACCCAUUAGAACUCAGGUUUUGAGUUAGGUAGCGGGUUUUAAACUAAAAGGUUCAUCCUUUUGUUUGGACCCGGACUUGAACUUAAGGCUUGGAGUUCGAAUAUAAUUAUUAGAAUCUUU
rnacentral:lncRNA from 1 species